GUGGGGAAUAUUGCACAAUGGGCGCAAGCCUGAUGCAGCCAUGCCGCGUGUAUGAAGAAGGCCUUCGGGUUGUAAAGUACUUUCAGCGAGGAGGAAGGCAUUGUGGUUAAUAACCACAGUGAUUGACGUUACUCGCAGAAGAAGCACCGG
rnacentral:rRNA from 1 species